rnacentral:rRNA from 1 species
UGGGGAAUAUUGGGCAAUGGGCGCAAGCCUGACCCAGCUAUGCCGCGUGAGUGAUGAAGGCCUUCGGGUUGUAAAGCUCUUUUAGAUGGGACGAUAAUGACGGUACCAUCAGAAAAAGCCCCGGCUAACUUCGUGCCAGCAGCCGCGGUAAUACGAAGGGGGCAAGCGUUGCUCGGAUUUAUUGGGCGUAAAGGGUGUGUAGGUGGUUUGAUAAGUUAGAUGUGAAAGCCCGGGGCUUAACCCCGGAACUGCAUUUAAAACUGUUGAACUUGAAGAUCAAAGAGGUAAGCAGAAUUUCCAGUGUAGAGGUGAAAUUCGUAGAUAUUGGAAAGAAUACCGAUGGCGUAGGCAGCUUACUGGUUGAAUCUUGACACUGAGGCACGAAAGCGUGGGGAGCAAA